rnacentral:rRNA from 1 species
UGGGGAAUCUUAGACAAUGGGGGAAACCCUGAUCUAGCCAUGCCGCGUGAUCGAUGAAGGCCUUAGGGUUGUAAAGAUCUUUCAGUUGGGAAGAUAAUGACGGUACCAACAGAAGAAGCCCCGGCUAACUCCGUGCCAGCAGCCGCGGUAAUACGGAGGGGGCUAGCGUUAUUCGGAAUUACUGGGCGUAAAGCGCACGUAGGCGGAUCAGAAAGUCAGAGGUGAAAUCCCAGGGCUCAACCUUGGAACUGCCUUUGAAACUCCUGGUCUUGAGGUCGAGAGAGGUGAGUGGAAUUCCGAGUGUAGAGGUGAAAUUCGUAGAUAUUCGGAGGAACACCAGUGGCGAAGGCGGCUCACUGGCUCGAUACUGACGCUGAGGUGCGAAAGCGUGGGGAGCAAACAGG